CCAAAAUAGCAAGGGAGAGAGAGAGAGAGAGAGAGAGAGAGGGAGCAACCCCUCCAGGAAGCUGCUUGAAUUGGAGCCCAGCUUUGGAGACAUUUUGCAAGCAGUUUGUCCAGAUGCCCUUUCUAUGCGAGAGAGAGAGAGAGAGACGCCAAGUCAAGAUUUGCAGUCAAGAUAAAAAUAGAGGAACAGAACACAAUUGGGCAAGAUCUGG